GCCGGGAUGGCGGAAUAGGCAGACGCGCAUGGUUGAGGGCCAUGUGGAGAUUGUUCCGUGGGGGUUCGAAUCCCCCUCCCGGCACUA
rnacentral:tRNA from 1 species